GGCGGGUGGUCGUGAGAAUUCUUGAGGGGAAGGAAGGCGGGGUUGGCGCUGCCCCUGCCCGCUCCGCUUAUAACAACCUCUCUAAGUAACAUCCCCAUGUGAAAUGCUCACCUAUUAAUAUUUGGAGAUAACACUCAGAACAUAACUAUUGAAUAUUAAGAAGAGCUGGGGUGUAUUGAAAUGGCAUUUCUGUGCACUCUGGCUUCCGUCACAGUGUUCCCGUUGCACCAGAAGCAGUUUCGUCAUGCUAGCCACAUGACCCAGAAAGCUGUCUGUGGACAAAUGCCAGCUCCCUUGGCCUGAAGCGAGAUGAGCACCGCAACCCCACAGUUGCCUUUGACUGGAUUUAACUGUCCAGGGAUCCUUUACCUUUACUUAUUAAAACUAAUAUUGAAUCUAAUAACAGUUUACAUGCCAGCUCAGUAAUCAUGAAACAUAAAGGAAAAAGCUAGUACACACCAAAAGGGUAGUUUUGCAUUGACAUCACAGGGUCAUCAGGUGGAGCUCUUGCGCCACCUGCUGGACAAUGGUAGGAUAAAACUCUUGGGAAGUCGGCAGCUCCCAUUUCAGUUUUGUGGAUUACCCAAGCCUGAACAGCCAUCGAGGUCACACACAUGCAUUAAAGGAAACAACCUAGCUGCCUACUUCCCUAAGUCUAAUUUACUAGAAUUUAAGAAGAGCUGCUGCCAACUGGGCUGUAAAAACAUCAUGUUGCAGUCCAUACUAAGGUGUGGACCCUAUGUGGUCAAUGUAAAACUAUCCUUCAGGUACCCAUUGCACAUUUCCCCAUUGACAUCAUAGUUUCAUUUUGUUGGGAUAUACAAAAGCGUUCCCAAUUAUGGUAGGUCUUAACUGCAACAAUAUGCACCAUUACUGUGGGAGGGCCUGCUGCUUAUGAUUAGGUGAAAACAUCCAUUUUAUAGUGCCUUAUAAAU